rnacentral:lncRNA from 10 species
GGGUACCAAAGUCCACUCUGAGCUUUUCCUCUGGGAACAGAUCCCAGAUUAUUCCAGACUUAAGACAUGGAGAUAUAUCUUGCUAGAGGUAGGAAGAUGAUAAGAUCAGUUUCUAUAGGUAGAGGAUAAUGUGUCCUAAAAUGUAGGUAGAGAUAAGUCUGACAGUGGUUUAGACAAAAAGGGCCUCUGCUAAUGGUGGAGAGAUCAAGGAAGAAAAGAGCAACGUUAAAGUGAGGCUGUACCCACAGAUCAUGCUCAAGCAAAUUCGAACCUGUAAGAUGAAAGAGGACCUGCCCUCCAUUCUAUCUACUCCCUCUCUGCAAAGGCCAUUUUGAAGAUCUCAGUUUUACUGAAAGGGGUCUGCCACACAUAACUUCCCUGGUGUACCAGCAACAAGUGUUCAGUGGACCAUGGCAACACAAAGAAUGACGGAGGAGAGAAAAUGCCAUGCAGAAGUGAUAGUCAAGAUGAAGAUGUGGGAGAGGAGCAGCCCCCAGUAUAUAUUCAGUGUGUCCUCUGAAGUAACAACCAUCCCAUCUGGCUGAGAAGUGAUGGACACGGCUCCUUAACCACACUGUACCCUCUGUUCUUGGCACCUCUCUACCAGAAAGAUAUCAACAAAUUGGAUGGAAUUCAGAGAACAUGACUUCCUAUUAUCCUUCUCAAAGUUAUUGCUGCAGAGGAAAGAAGCAUACAUCUUUUACCCACCAGGAAACCCCCAAAGCAUCUAUUACCAUAAUAGCCAUGGGAAACAGAAGGCACCUCAAAUAAAGGUGGGGAAAAGAAUGAAAGAAAUGGCUUUGGCCUGUGCCUGUUUGACCUCUGAGAGAUACUUUUUGCAAGAAAUUGUUAAGUUUUGGCCCAAAAAGUGGUCGGUCUUUUAUCCUUCCUUGUGGAGGCCAAACUGCAAACCAGGAUGAAGAAACCAUCAGUGGCAGUUUGGGGAGGUGGAGGAGGGACUAUCUAGACUCAGUGAAUCACCAAGGAAACAUGAGGCCUAUUUCUCUGUGAAGCUGAACUUCAAAAAACAAUCUAAGAGAUACAAAGGGAAAAGUGUGACUGCUCUGACAGCAAAAACAAGCAAAUAUCUCCAGAGGGGAUUAAUCCUUCUGCUUCAAAGUAACUAAAACAAAGAAAGCUGAGCCAGCUUCACUGGAAACAACACCUGUCCAUCAGACAAGGAUGAGCUAAUCAAAAGAAAACACUGCCUAUGUGCACGACUCAGCAGCCUGGACAGCUAAUACCAAGGAACACGUUUUCACUAUAAAGAUUCAGCUUUCAAAAUCCAGUUCCCUCUUGUAGAGCCACAGGGUUAAAAGGGACCUUAGAGAUCAUCUACAUACAGGCCAAACCCUCAAUGAAUGCCAGUGUUCGCCUUAUGUUCUUCUUGCCGGACUCUUUUCUGGCCUCUGUUCUGUCAGGAUGUUUCCUGUUUUGCAAAACAGCUUUAAUCCUUGAGUAUAUUUAAUUGUUAGAAAACAGUUCCUCAAAUUUGACCCCAAAUUUAAGUCUAAUUUAUGAAGAAAGUUUUGCCUUUG